rnacentral:rRNA from 1 species
CGGGUGCACUGAUCCGGCCGGGCCUUUCCCUCUGUGGAACCCCAUGGCCUUCACUGGCUGUGCGGGGGAAACAGGACUUUUACUGUGAAAAAAUUAGAGUGCUCCAGGCAGGCCUAUGCUCGAAUACAUUAGCAUGGAAUAAUAGAAUAGGACGCGUGGUUCUAUUUUGUUGGUUUCUAGGACCGCCGUAAUGAUUAAUAGGGACAGUCGGGGGCAUCAGUAUUCAAUUGUCAGAGGUGAAAUUCUUGGAUCUAUUGAAGACUAACUACUGCGAAAGCAUUUGCCAAGGAUGUUUUCAUUGAUAAGGAACGAAAGUUAGGGGAUCGAAGACGAUCAGAUACCGUCGUAGUCUUAACUAUAAACUAUGCCGACUAGGGAUCGGACGAUGUUAUUUCUUGACGCGUUCGGCACCUUUCGAGAAAUCAAAGUGCUUGGGCUCCAGGGGGAGUAUGGUCGCAAGGCUGAAACUUAAAGAAAUUGACGGAAGGGCACCACCAGGGGUGGAACCUGCGGCUUAAUUUGACUCAACACGGGGAAACUCACCAGGUCCAGACACAAUGAGGAUUGACAGAUUGAGAGCUCUUUCUUGAUUUUGUGGGUGGUGGUGCAUGGCCGUUCUUAGUUGGUGGAGUGAUUUGUCUGCUUAAUUGCGAUAACGAACGAGACCUUAACCUGCUAAAUAGCCCGUACUGCUCUGGCAGUUCGCCGGCUUCUUAGAGGGACUAUCGG